AUGGAGAUCCUGCCGCUGCUAAUCUCCAUAGGCAGCACAAAAAAAGGGACGUCGUUGGAGGUUGAGAACCAGAGAAAGCAAGGGAUGAAGGGAAUCAAUGUCAUCAGAGAAAACAAAGUAACUUACAGCCCAGCUCAUCUUAAUUCUUCACCAAGGCAUGCUGAUCUCUACACCCGCCGGUGCGAGGAGCACUAUCGCCAAUCCAUGGCUUUGUGGGCCGCAUACAAGCCCUGCCGCAUAAGACAGAACCAGGAACGGGUUUGGUGCAUCAGUCGGGGGUACCCCUGCUCCCCGGUCCUUGAAGCUGCCACCAGCGCCAGCCUACACCGGAGUGCAGCAGCAACUCCAGCAACUUCGCCCGCAGCUGCCGGUCGUCCGUGGUGA
rnacentral:rRNA from 1 species